rnacentral:rRNA from 1 species
CCUACUCCUACGGGAGGCAGCAGUGGGGAAUAUUGCACAAUGGGCGGAAGCCUGAUGCAGCAACGCCGCGUGAGGGAUGACGGCCUUCGGGUUGUAAACCUCUUUUAGCAGGGAAGAAGCGAGAGUGACGGUACCUGCAGAAAAAGCACCGGCUAACUACGUGCCAGCAGCCGCGGUAAUACGUAGGGUGCAAGCGUUAUCCGGAAUUAUUGGGCGUAAAGAGCUCGUAGGCGGUCUGUCGCGUCUGCUGUGAAAUCCCGAGGCUCAACCUCGGGCUUGCAGUGGGUACGGGCAGACUAGAGUGCGGUAGGGGAGAUUGGAAUUCCUGGUGUAGCGGUGGAAUGCGCAGAUAUCAGGAGGAACACCGAUGGCGAAGGCAGAUCUCUGGGCCGUAACUGACGCUGAGGAGCGAAAGGGUGGGGAGCAAACAGGCUUAGAUACCCUGGUAGUCCACCCCGUAAACGUUGGGAACUAGUUGUGGGGUCCUUUCCACGGAUUCCGUGACGCAGCUAACGCAUUAAGUUCCCCGCCUGGGGAGUACGGCCGCAAGGCUAAAACUCAAAGGAAUUGACGGGGACCCGCACAAGCGGCGGAGCAUGCGGAUUAAGUCGAUGCAACGCGAAGAACCUUACCAAGGCUUGACAUACACGAGAACGGGCCAGAAAUGUCAAACUCUGA